GUUUUAGUAUGUUUAAGAGAUUGGAUUAGAUCGGAAUGAAGAAAUCAAGGAAAGGAAGAUGUUGAUAGCCCAGAAGACGAAGAAAUUGGAGAAUAUUAACCCAUGAAACCCUUCGGAAUUUAACUCCCCAGAAGAAGGUCAAUCAGUUCAUAUUGAUUAUGAUGAACUUGCUAAGGUGAUGCAAAACAUUUGAAAUUACUACUUCACUAGUUUACUUGUUAGAAAAAAUG
rnacentral:lncRNA from 1 species